CCAACCAUAGCUCACUUGGUAGAGCGGAGGACUGUAGAUCCUUAGGUCACUGGUUCGAAUCCGGUUGGUUGGA
rnacentral:tRNA from 1 species